rnacentral:tRNA from 1 species
GGCUUAGUGGUCUAGUGGUAUGAUUCCUGCUUCGGGACGGUUCCGAUCCCUUCCAUUCUAACAUGGGAAUGCAGGAGGCCCCGGGUUCGAAUCCCGGCUGAGCCC